rnacentral:rRNA from 1 species
GAUGAACGCUAGCUACAGGCUUAACACAUGCAAGUCGAGGGGAAACGAUAUUGGAAGCUUGCUCCGAUAGGCGUCGACCGGCGCACGGGUGAGUAACGCGUAUCCAACCUGCCCACCACUUGGGGAUAACCUUGCGAAAGUAAGACUAAUACCCAAUGAUAUCUCUAGAAGACAUCUGAAGGAGACUAAAGAUUUAUCGGUGAUGGAUGGGGAUGCGUCUGAUUAGCUUGUUGGCGGGGUAACGGCCCACCAAGGCUACGAUCAGUAGGGGUUCUGAGAGGAAGGUCCCCCACAUUGGAACUGAGACACGGUCCAAACUCCUACGGGAGGCAGCAGUGAGGAAUAUUGGUCAAUGGGCGAGAGCCUGAACCAGCCAAGUAGCGUGCAGGAUGACGGCCCUAUGGGUUGUAAACUGCUUUUAUAAGGGAAUAAAGUGAGCCUCGUGAGGCUUUUUGCAUGUACCUUAUGAAUAAGGACCGGCUAAUUCCGUGCCAGCCGCCGCGGUAA